AUGUAAUGCCUCCAGGGUUAAUUCACCAUAUCCCAUUAGAAAUCCACAGUUAAGCACACUUGGUCUAGAGUAGUAUUGGGAUGGGUGACAUCUUGGGAAGUCCUAGUGUUUUACAUG
rnacentral:rRNA from 1 species